rfam:Gossypium arboreum cultivar AKA8401 contig_112117_1, whole genome shotgun sequence.
AUUCCGUGAUGGGGGCAUUUCCGUAGUAGUUCUUUGUACCUUUCCCAUGCCUCAUACAAGGACUCGUCAUCCAUUUGUGGGAAAACAAUGAUCUCGUUCCUCAAUUU